rnacentral:rRNA from 1 species
UACGUAGGGUGCAAGCGUUAAUCGGAAUUACUGGGCGUAAAGCGUGCGCAGGCGGUUAUGCAAGACAGAUGUGAAAUCCCCGGGCUCAACCUGGGAACUGCAUUUGUCACUGCAUGGCUAGAGUACGGUAGAGGGGGAUGGAAUUCCGCGUGUAGCAGUGAAAUGCGUAGAUAUGCGGAGGAACACCGAUGGCGAAGGCAAUCUCCUGGACCUGUACUGACGCUCAUGCACGAAAGCGUGGGGAGCAAACAAG